CAGGCGUGCUCGUUGUGCAUUGUGGGUCUGAUCAUUGCACAUGAUGUACGACCUGCA
rnacentral:pre_miRNA from 1 species